GCCGGCGUAGCUCAGUUGGUAGAGCAACUGAUUUGUAAUCAGUAGGUCGCGGGUUCGAGUCCCAUCGCCGGCU
rnacentral:tRNA from 1 species